AAGUGAGUUGAGUGGAUGCCUCCUAGUGAGAAUAGAUAGGGUUACAUUUGGAAUUAAAUAGAAGAUGGCAGGGUGGCAAUGGCAGCAAGUGUUACUUACCUAUUUAUAGCUGAAGCGGAGAGUGGAGAUCCCUCUUCCUCUUGUGUCAAAAACCAAUAAUCUCUGAUCUGAGUUCCUGACAUGUCCAUCGAGCUAGAUUCUGAAUCCAUUCCCACACCCACGGCCCAAGCCCAAGACCGAUCCAACUCCCGCUGCGCACUGCUAUUUUCCUACAGCUGCCUCGGCCCACGGCGUCGUUCCUCAUGGUGGGAGCGUGUCCGCUCCCACUCCCACUCCACUCCAGCCUCAACCGGUGACCGGUGGUGGUCGCGUGGGCUCAGGGCGCUGAAGAAGCUUCGCGAGUGGUCGGAGAUCGUAGCGGGGCCCAAGUGGAAGACCUUCAUCCGUAGGUUCAACCGCAACCGCCCCAACAAACGCAUACCCACAUACCAGUAUGACCCCUUCAGUUACGCCCUCAACUUUGACGAGGGGCCUAAUGGGGAUUUCAACGACGACGACGAUGCAGCGCUUCGUAAUUUCUCCACGCGCUACGCUGCCGCGAACAACGUGAAAUCGCUUUCCCCCAAGGCACGUGACACCGACGACGCUGUUUUGGUGUGAGUGUUUCUCUGGUUCCGAAAGGGGCAGGAGUGGGUGCCCCUUGGCGUCAAUUUUUAUUAUUUCUUUUCAUAAUUAUAGUAUAUACAAAUCCAUAUCAAUCCCGAUGGGAACGGUUGUUAUUGUGUAUAUACACACCUUUUUUUACUACUAGCAUUAUUGUAUGAUAAUGAACUCAUUGUUUUUUAUGGCUUCCAAUUCCCGAUUUCCUCUUUCAUAUCAUAAUUGUUAGUAGUAGUAAUUAUUAUAAUGUGUAAGGAUGGGCCUGGGCCUGGGCCCGGGCCUGGUGGGGCUUUGCAAUCAAUAAAUGAGGCUUCCACGAAAUGAAUCGACUUGGGAUUUUUCUUUGUUUGAUGUGUCGUCUUCUUCACCCUUAAAAAUUGUCAUUUUCAUUUCAUGAAUGAUAGUGCCGUGGGAUCAAAGUAGAACAUCUAGUAGUGGCUUGCUUCUUCGAUCUAUUUGCGUCACAACUCACAACUGUGUAGUGUACGAGUUACCGAUAUAGACAAGUAGGAGAAAGCGCUCUUAUCCUUGGAUUGAUAAGAAAUGAAAACGAGGAGCCUCCCUGCCAAAAGAGUUAGACUUUGUCACUAUUUGGUGGUUGGAAUGAUACUAGUAGAGAUGAGGUAAGAUAUUAAAAUUUAAAAUGGUUGUUCCCAUUUUCGCAUAAAAAUCAUGUAUUUAAAUCCAUAUUCAUGUGGAUGACAACUUUAACACUUACAAGUUAUUUUUGUUUAUACUUGGAUCACUUAUCUACAUAAUGCAUCUA